AUACUAAAAAGUAAUUUUUUAACUCUAAGUAUUUAAAGUUAUGUACUUGAAAUUUGAAGAAUUUGGCGGUGAUUUAGUCUUGUCAGAGGAACCUGUUUUUGAAUCGAUACACCACGAAGAAUCUUACUUAAGCUUGUAAAGGCAGUAUGUAUACCAUCAUUAUUAGGUAAUUUUUAUAGAAUAAAUUACUGAACGAUAAUUAUUAACAAUAUUAAAUAUAUUAGAUCAAGGUGCAGCUAAUGCUUAAGUUAAAAUGGGUUACAAUAAAAAUUUAUUUAAUACGGAAUAUUAAUUCAAAUAAUUAAUUAGAAGGAGGAUUUGAUUGUAAAUUAAAUUUAAUAUGUUUAGUUAGAUAUAAGCUCUAAAUCAUGUACAUAUCGCCCGUCGCUUUCAUUACCAAAAUGAGAU
rnacentral:rRNA from 1 species